rnacentral:rRNA from 1 species
GUGGAUUAGAUACCCUGGUAGUCCAUGCCGUAAACGAUGUCUACUAGCCGUUGGGGCCUUUGAGGCUUUAGUGGCGCAGCUAACGCGAUAAGUAGACCGCCUGGGGAGUACGGUCGCAAGACUAAAACUCAAAUGAAUUGACGGGGGCCCGCACAAGCGGUGGAGCAUGUGGUUUAAUUCGAUGCAACGCGAAGAACCUUACCUGGCCUUGACAUGCUGAGAACUUUCCAGAGAUGGAUUGGUGCCUUCGGGAACUCAGACACAGGUGCUGCACGGUUGUCGCCAACU